AAGAUUAAGCCAUGCAUGUCUAAGUUCAAGCAAAAAUAAAGUGAAACCGCGAAUGGCUCAUUAUAUCAGUUAUGGUUCCUUAGAUCGCACUUACUACUUGGAUAACUGUGGUAAUUCUAGAGCUAAUACAUGCAAUGGGUUCCAACCCUUGUGGAAGGAACGCUUUUAUUAGAUCAAAGCCAAUCGGGCCUUCGGGCUCGUUUUACUGGUGACUCUGAAUAACUUUGCUGAUCGUACGGUCUCGCACCGACGACGUAUCUUUCAAGUGUCUGCCUUAUCAACUGUCGAUGGUAGGUUAUGCGCCUACCAUGGUUGUAACGGGUAACGGGGAAUCAGGGUUCGAUUCCGGAGAGGGAGCCUGAGAAACGGCUACCACAUCCAAGGAAGGCAGCAGGCGCGCAAAUUACCCACUCCCGGCACGGGGAGGUAGUGACGAAAAAUAACGAUACGGAACUCAUACGAGGCUCCGUAAUCGGAAUGAGUACACUUAAAUCCUUAACGA
rnacentral:rRNA from 1 species